GAGUCGGACACAACUGAGAGACUAAACUGAACUGAAGGCCCUGUCUCCAAAGAUAGUCACAUUCUGAGGUACUGGGGGUUAAGAGUUUAAUAUAUAAAUUUUGGUGGCAACAGAAUUCGCCCCAUAACAAAGUCCUCACCUCUGGUACCUGUGAAUAUGACCUUACUUGAAAAUAAGACCUUUGCGAACAUAAUCAAACUGAGAUUGCACCAGAUUAGGGAAGGUGCUAAAUCCAAUGCCUGGUGUCCUUAUUAGGAAAGAGAGAGAGAUACAGAGGCACAGAGGAAAUACACAGGGAAAGGAGACCACGUGAAGAUAGAGGCAGAGCCUAUAGUUAUGCUGCCACAAUGAAAAGAACGCCAAUGACUGCUGGCCACUACUGAGAGAAGAAACAAGGAGGGAUUCUUCCUUAGACCCUUUAGAGGGAACAUGGCCUUGCUGACAUCUGAAUUUCAGACAUCUAGCCUCCAGAACAGUGAGAGAAUAAGUUUCUGUUACUUUAAGCUACUCAGUUUGUACCAGUAAUACAUCAUCUGACAUUAUCUGUUUGUUAAUUGUCUUCUGUAUCCUCCACUAGAAUGUAAGUUCCAUGAGGGCAGGGACUUGCCUCUCUUGGUCACUGUUGUUUUGCCAGCAUAAUGGAUACUUAAUGAAUGAAUGGAUGGAUGAGGGCAGUUUUGAAGGGUGGGGAUGAGGAACAGUGGUGGGAGAAGGAAAAAGAGAAGGAAGGCAUUGAAAAAGACAUGUGAUAACGAGUUUCAAAUAUCCUGAGUGGACUUCUGGUGGAGCUGGUAAAGGGGUUGAAUCCUGUCCAGUUUGAUGUGGCAAGAAAUAGGGACCAAAUAUGGAAAUUGGGCCAGAAGAGCACUGCGAGCUUUAACUCCCAAUGAGUAGAAAUUGAGGUGAUUACAUUGGCCUUUCACGGGUCAUGGAAAUAGCAGGGCCCAAGUUGCUUGCAACCAGAUCCCCAAGAGCAAGAGGGCAAAUGACAUGCAGUUUAUAGUCUAGAUAUGUAGUUUCCUAGAUUCAUCUCCCGUGUCCCCCACAUUGCCCAUGGCAUUGAACUUUUUAUCAAUUUCGUCUGAGUUUGGGGAAAUUUUAUCAAACUCAUUCUAAUUCUCUAGUUUAGUUUUCUGCAGUAGACUAUCUAGCUCCAGUAUAUUUUUCAUCUGAAAGCAAUGUUUCCUGACCUGAGGGUGGUUCUGUUUUUAGAAAUAAAAUGUCAUUUCAAAUUUUAUUCUAAAUCCAAAUGACAGAUUUUUAUAUUGUUCUCCUUUAUGUUUUAAAAGAAGUCCCUUACAACUUUUUUUCCUGAAUCCUUAGAAGGUCUUUAUAAGUUGAACUUCUAACUCACUCUCUCCAUUCAGUAAGUUUUUCCUAUUUAUUCUUCCUGAUAUUUAUGCUUAACCAUUACUGGGCUUGAUAUGUCAGAGGCUGUGUGGAUCUCAGUUUAAAUAGCUUAAUACAAGAUACAAGGAAAAGUUUAUAUAUGUUUGUUGUUUUGCUUUGAUAAAUAGGGGUUUAGACUGGAAGGUUUAGACGCUGUUGACUGGAAGGAAUAGAAAGAGUGUUUUGUAAAGGAGAUGGACAUGUGGCAGGAAAAUGAACUGCUGGGCUCAGUGUUUUCUCCUUCACGUUUAUUGCAGCAAAUGGUGAGUCCUGCCCCACUUCUUCCAAAAUCAUGCUUGUCCUUGUUAAUAGUCUCCAAGGGCAAUGCCCUUGCUUUACUUAACCCCUUUGUCUCACUAAGUUGAGCAUAACUGGAAGUGAUGUCCAUUGGUCUCUCCCUGCCCCAUAUAUAUUUGCUUAUAUAUGCCUAUAAAAUGUUUGAGUUUUUUCUUUCCCAUUUGGCCCACUGCCUAUCUGUUUCUACUUAGAGCUACUCUAGCCAUGAGAGCUUCUGUGAAAUUCCAUCUAUUAUUUCUCAUGAGUUGACCCAUUAGAUAAUCCUUUCUUUAAUAGAAUCCAUCUACACAAUAUACCACCCUUCUAUGUUUCCUAGGAUUGCUAAGAAUGUUUCCAUAUUAUCUAUUUCUUUGUUUAUUAUAGUGGAAAUUUGGGAGAGAGAAAGUUAAUUUCUUGGGAUCAAGUCAAAAUUGGGGAAGUGAUAUGGCAGUUGGAAACUUUUACAGAGAAGACAGGGCAUUAGAGGGCAGAAGGGGCACAUGUGAUCUUGGGUUAGAAAGUUCGGGAUUAAAUCCCAGGUAGGCCUCUUCCUGGUUAUGUAAUCCUGACUAUUUGACCCCACAGUGUCAAACUCUCAUUCUUACAUCUCCAUGCUCUUCAGGAAUAGAAAGCAUUUGUAUGGUGAAAAGGAGGAGGGAAGACUUAGAAUGUUGAAAACAAAGGCACAAACAUUGGAAAGAGGCCAACCUGUAGGGAUAAAAACAAAGUGGGGUGUUGUUCAUGUUGUGGUUGCCUAUCCUACAGUCAUUCCUUCUUCUUUCUGGCUGGAAGAGUCCAAUUUUUUCUACCCUCCCUUAUAGGUGGUGGUCCCUCUCCUCCUACCAAGUUUGAUACACACAUGAUACAGUAGCCAAGGAGUCACGAAGGGACACUGUGGGGACUUCUGGGAAAGAUCUUCUAAUUGUUGAGAAGAGAACAGGAGACAGAAUUGCCUUCUCUUCUUGCACUGGACAGUUUUGUAUAGAAGGGCUUGAGCACAGGAGUGCGAUCCUGAGAAUGAGCUCCUUGCUGAUGAUGGGCUGAUGGGCCUGGGAGGUUAGAGAGGAAAGGAAGAAGCCAGGGUACUUGAUGAUGUUGUGAAGACAUUGAGUUAAUCAACCCUACGAAUUCUGCCACAUUAGACUUCUUUAAUUAAUAAAGCCAGUGGAACUGUGUGGAUUUUCUUUUCUAAAAAUUCGCAGCCCAAAGCAUGCAAAAUGAUCCAGGAGAGACAAAUGUAUGUUUGAGUGGACUGGGAAGCAAAUGUGGUUCAGUUAGAAGGAGGAAUGCCAUUAAGAGCUUUGAAAACCAGGAAGAUGUGUUGAAGCUUGGUGUGGUAGAUUACAGGGAGCUACAGAAAAUGUUUGAACAAACAGAUCUUGAUGAAUGCAGUGUUUUAGAUGAGAAUCAUUUGAGAAUAUGAUGACUAAAGUAAUGAAUGAAAGUGUCUGAAUUUAAGAAGACCAGCUAAAAAUUUUGGCAGUGGUCCAGGCAUGAAACAAUAGACACUGGACCAGAGUCUUGUUAUUAGUGGAAAUCACUGUGUACUUUUGGUGUAAUUUUCCCUUCUUUUCUCUUGUCUCCUGUAACGCUUGCUGGAGGAGAGCUUCUUGUUAGUGAGACAGGACGUACAUCAUUUGGACAAAGUUUUCCAUAUAAAAGAUGCUGUCAAGGAGCAGGUUGCUGGUUUAUCAAGAAGAGAGACGAAUGCCUGGGGAAGUGGGAGAUGGAAGAUCUAAGAAUGAGAUAUAAACAGCACCAUCCCUGCCUGCACUCUCCCUCCCUUUUCCAUGGGCUUCAACUCACUGCAAUGGAAAAACCAAAGGAGAAACUGCUGCCCCAUGAUGACAGGUGGGGACAUCCAGCAGCACCUGACAUCUGCCUCUGAGCUUGAGAAGCCUCUCAGUGGCUGUUUCACUUUGCUCACUGAGGGAGAUCCAGACAAGAGGAAGAGGGAAAGGAGCACCAGUACUUGAGUGCCAGUACUUGACUUGUACUUGUGUUUGAUUGGACAGAACUGAGUCACGUGGCCACCACUAGCCAUGAGGGAGUCUGAAAAGGAACAAGCCAAGAACCAGUUGGCUGCAGAGAUCAGCCUACAGGGGUCAGCUGGUCUGUAAUAUGGCACACAGCUGGGCAAGAACAAGACAUGGAUCUGGGG